CAGCGGGAGGGCCAAGGAGAGGGGCGGAAUGUGCGCGUUUCUCUUCCUCCCAGCCCCUCCUGGCUCCAGCCUCAGCAGCGCCAGCAUAAAUUAAAUCCAAGUGCUGCUGCUGAGGCAUCACAGGCAUAUCGGAGCCGAUCACGCCCUGUCCGCCCGGCCUGGCUUUCGAGGCUGCGGCGGCUUCCCCGCCAGCCUUAUCCCGGUGUCCUUCUCCCGGCAGUAGCACGGCCUGGCACGGCUGUGCCUAGGAAACGGGUGCGGGGCCCGGUGCGCUGCUCAGGCUCCCCUCGGGGAGAUCUCUAUCCCGACGUGUGGUAGAGUCAGGGAGCUGCGGCUGCUGCCGCUGAGCGCUCCACCGCGCCGCUGUUCUCAGAGCAGGCAAAAAUCGCUCGUGGGCGAGUCUCUGCAGGCAUCGGGCAAAGCGGUCUCGCUGGGACAUUUACAGGGAGCUGGAGCCUGGGAAGAACAGCAAUUAGGGGCCACACUAUGCACCAGGCAUUGACUCAGGGGCUCGUUCGAGGACCAUUUUCUGUGAAAGGAAGAAUUCUGAUCUACGUCCUGUAGGCACAGAUCACUAACAGCCAUAAGUUUAGAAGGAAAAGUGGGAGAACAAGAAUAUUGUGAUUAGUAACCUAUGCAAGGAAGUGAUGUUUACAGAGCAGAACACCAACUGGCAAAAGGAGUGCUUAAUAUUCUUUACAGCAGAAAAACCAAUACCUAUAAAUCCCUGUCACUGGAAAAAACAGCAGAACAACAGUUCAAAGUCUGGAUGCUUCAGGAAGCUUGACUGUAUGAGAGAAAAAACCCACAAUCCCUCAAUGCCUUCCAAAAUUUCAAAUGGUCUCCACCAAGAAACAGCAACACAAAGGUCCAGUCCUUGUGCUGAAAAAUACAGCAAUUUACCCUUCUCCACUACUCUUUCAUUUGUACUAAUUCCUCUUCACACUGUCUGGACAGCACCUCAGGUUUCCUCUACUUUUUCAACAACUGAGGAAUAACUUGGUGAAAAUAAUCAGCUUGCAGCCUGGAAAAACACUCCUAUUAAGCUGUAUAUUUAUGACUGCUGCUCAGUCUCUCUUUUACACUUUGAUCACAAGUCCCCAUACACUUCUCUGCAUUAUCUAUCAAUUAGUUAUGCUAGUUCUAAUCUGUACCAAGCCACCUUUACAAAAGCCCUCCUCACAAGACACAGGAGCUCCCUCAGGAGCUGGCUCCACCUCAGCAAGUCGCCUCUGUCUGCUUAAUCUUAGCACCAGCAAUUUCUCCCUAUCUAUCUCCCACAAAUGCUGAGCACUCUCAAGGAAAGAUGGUGCUGAUCACCUUUCUUAUGCUAUUAGCCAUUUGCCUCUCCUUGGGGAAGUAUUACAAUGGAUACUAGAAACCAAUUAAUUCUGAAGAUAAAAAACAACCCAAAUAGAAAAUAUGAUGUGUGCUUUAAGGUAUCCGGAAGUAUUACUGGUAUCUUUUUAAUGAGGACAAUAAUACCAUCUGUUUUCUAAGUGGUAUGGGCAUAUACUGCUCGUUAGUAGGAGUCAAGGAGCUGUACAAAUAUCACAUUAUUACUACACACACAGGACUCUCCUCCUUAAUUACCUUAAACCAGAAAUUUGUGACAGAUUACAAGCAAAUUCAUGUACUCUCUACUUUGUGCUACGCUACUUUGAAGAACAAGAAAAAAGCCUACUGAGGAAGAUGUCAAACGGUAAUUCUAUUAAAUAAUAAAGCAGAAUAUAGUCAAUUACAGAUUUAAAGAUUGAAAGCAGGCUCACAUUUGUAAACAAGCCUUUAAUUCAGGCUUUAUUUCAAAGACUGCUCUAAGUUUCCGUUUACCAGAGACAAAUAGCAAAAUGAUGAGUCCUACAUCACAUAAUUUUCUAAUAUUCAGAAGAAGAACUCUGGCAAGAAAAAACUCAGAUCGAAAUCAAAUCUACAAUUCAGUGCAUCAUUGUAGGAUGAGGUUUUUUUUGUGGGUUUAUUUCCCUGCUAUCAUUUUUAAUAAGAGGACUGAAGUUCCUUCAGAGAUCCAUAAAAACAUAAGUAAAACUUUAGAUGUAUUUAGUGCCAAGAAGAAGGAAUUACCUCCCUGAACUGAUGCCAGAAGAAGUGGAUACAAAACACCAGGUGCCCAGAAUCUUAUGGAAAUUAGGUCAAUAUUGAGCAGCUUUCUUAACUCCUAAGAGAAAGCUGUUAGCUAUGCCAGGGAAGCUAAUCCUCAAGAAUUUUACAUACUGAGACUGUGACACACACCACUACUUAAUGAGAACUAAAAGCUGCCACCAGGCCCCAGCUGAAGAGGGCACACCUAGACCAGCAAAGAUGCUAAUUGGUAAGCCCCUAUGACAGAUCUCUUGGCAACAGUGUAAAUAUUUUGGCAGAAGCUGGUCGGAGAAUCACACGUGUGAAUGCUGGCACCAGGUCUGGUGUAUUAGAGGACGUGCCCUCUUGUAAUGAUGAAGUCCAUACCUGGACUGCAGACACUAACAAUCUGAUUUUGUAAGAAAAGCAUGUUAAUCACAUAGUUUGCACGUGUCCUGCAUUAGAGGUUAUUUCAUUGACUGAAUCACGACUGGAAAAUAAAUGAGUUUAGAUGUACAGUCAAAGUGUAGACCUGCUAAAAACUUUAUUUUAGAAUUACUUUGGAGCAUCUUUACAGUACAACAUAAUGGAAUUGCUCAUAGGUUUUCCUUAUAGUUAAUUUUUUAGAGAAUAAAGAAUAUUUGAAAUGCUUUAAAUCUGAGCUCUUUAUUCAGACAACUCCACCAUUCUCUUUUCCUGACUGAUGGUGAUACAAAGCAGUUCUGUAGUUUUUAUUUGAUGUUUAAAGCAAACAAAACCCUCCAGUACUCUGUAACUUUAUUUCUAUCAAAGAAAAAACUUUGUGAAAGAUCAUGAAUAUUGAAGUCCUACAAAUAACUUGACACAAGUUGAAGUGAAUGAGCUCUAUUUCCACUAAUGCUUAUUCAUCUGUAGUUUUAUUUCCUGAAGUAUUUCCUUGUGAAGAAACAUUUUUGUUCUGCAAUUAGAACUUCAUCUUCAUUUCACCGCAAAACAUUCAAGUUUUUAUAGCAAACCAUCAGACAUAUGGAAGACGCCACAUCAGUGAGAUUUAUUUCAACUUAAUGCAAGUGGAAGCUGUAAAUAUCACUUUCAUCAAGUAAAGCUGCAAGUCAUUUUGCUUUUUAUGUAAAUGCGGUUGUCAAAUAUUUAACUGGAGGUAAAAUCCUACUGCCUCAAGAGUGCUUUUAAAAUAACUUGAGUUUUUGGGCAGCAUGCAGUUUACAGGGAAGAACUACAUCUUGGCACAUUAGUGCAUUUGUCAAAUUUAUACAUUGAGUAGUUCAGGACUUCAAAUUAUUCCAAACAAUAUUCAGGAUGCUUGAAUGGCUAUCCUUCUUGAUGAAAACAGCAAAGAAAUGGCUCAAUACACAGUUAAGAGAUCUGCAAGCAGGCAAGGUGACAAACACAAGACACUUCAGGUGCACAACGGAGCAUAUAGGCACAUACAGAGAUAAUCUCCCAGCAAGAUUUACUGGCUUAAGAAUGGUAUUGGACAGACACUGAUGAAAUAUACUCAAACACAACUCAAAUCACAUUCAACCUAGCUCAUUAGCAUCUGCAUUACUUUUCUUAAGACAUUCCUCUUUUUAUACUUUCUGGAUUAAAAGCAGACAGGCUCUAAUCACGCCCAUGAAUGAA